UACAGAGGGUGCGAGCGUUAAUCGGAAUUACUGGGCGUAAAGGGUGCGUAGGUGGUUAAAUAAGUGACAUGUUAAAGUCCCGGGCUUAACCUGGGGAAGCCAUGUUAAACUGUUUAGCUAGAGUGUUGUAGAGGAAAGCGGAAUUUCCGGUGUAGCGGUGAAAUGCGUAGAUAUCGGAAGGAACACCAGUGGCGAAGGCGGCUUUCUGGACAAAUACUGACACUGAGGCACGAAAGCGUGGGGAGCAAACAGG
rnacentral:rRNA from 1 species